rnacentral:rRNA from 1 species
GCCUUAGAUGUUCUGGGCCGCACGCGUGCUACACUGAGUGGAUCAGCGGGUCAGGUUGCGCGAAAGUGUUUCCUAAUCUUUAAAUCCGCUCGUGAUGGGGAUUGACGGUUGCAAUUUUCCGUCAUGAACGAGGAAUACCUUGUAAGCGCGGGUCAUCAUCCCGCGCUGAAUACGUCCCUGCCCUUUGUACACACCGCCCGUCGCUCCUACCGAUUGAGUGGUCCGGUGAGGCUUUGGGAUCUGAGCGGAAAGAGCGUUUCGCUGUUUCUGCCCGGAAAACUCAGUCGAACCUUAUCAUUUAGAGGAAGGAGAAGUCGUAACG